rnacentral:rRNA from 2 species
UACGUAGGGGGCGAGCGUUGUCCGGAGUUACUGGGCGUAAAGGGCGUGUAGGCGGUCGUUCGCGUGUCUGGUGACAGCGCCUCGCUUAACGAGGGGAGUGCCCGACAAACGGGACGACUGGAGGGCCUCAGAGGAACACAGAAUUCCGGGUGGAGCGGUGAAAUGCGUAGAGAUCCGGAGGAAUACCGAAGGCGAAGGCCGUGUUCUGGGGGGUCACUGACGCUGAGGCGCGAAAGCGAGGGGAGCGAACGGG